rnacentral:rRNA from 1 species
GGACCAUCAUGUCGGUCGUGCCUCGGUACGUACUGGUAUUGUUGGUUUCUCCCUUCUGACGAACCAUGAUGUCAUUUAUUUGGUGUUGUGGGGAAUCAGGACUGUUACUUUGAAAAAAUUAGAGUGUUUAAAGCAGGCUCACGCUUGAAUACAUUAGCAUGGAAUAAUAAAAUAGGACGCGCGUUCCCAUUUUGUUGGCCUUCGGGAUCGGAGUA